AUUGAACGCUGGCGGCAUGCCUUACACAUGCAAGUCGAACGGCAGCACGGGAGCAAUCCUGGUGGCGAGUGGCGAACGGGUGAGUAAUACAUCGGAACGUGCCCAGUAGUGGGGGAUAGCCCGGCGAAAGCCGGAUUAAUACCGCAUACGACCUACGGGUGAAAGCGGGGGAUCGCAAGACCUCGCGCUAUUGGAGCGGCCGAUGUCAGAUUAGCUAGUUGGUGGGGUAAAGGCCUACCAAGGCGACGAUCUGUAGCUGGUCUGAGAGGACGACCAGCCACACUGGGACGGAGGCACGGCACAGACUCCUACGGGAGGCAGCAGUGGGGAAUUUUGGACAAUGGGGGCAACCCUGAUCCAGCCAUGCCGCGUGCGGGAAGAAGGCCUUCGGGUUGUAAACCGCUUUUGUCAGGGAAGAAACGCUCUGGGCUAAUACCCCGGAGUAAUGACGGUACCUGAAGGAUAAGCACCGGCUAACUACGUGCCAGCAGCCGCCGUAAAAC
rnacentral:rRNA from 1 species